AAAGCUUUCGUGUGGUAAUGAGUAAUGUGUAAUGCAUGAUCAGGCAUAUGAUAAGCCUUGGGGCAAUGGACUGAUAAGAAAUGGAAGUAUUUGUCGGAUUUUCCCACAUUUAGUUGUGUGCAGUAAUAGUUUUGGAUAAAACAAUUAGAAGUCUGAUAAAUCCUUCAUCAGGGUGCUUUCCUGGUUUUGAAACCAGAAUGUUUCUCAGAAUUACAUACACAACUUACACAACCUCUCUGAUUUUAUACAGCCUAUAAAUUGAAAUGGUGAAUGUAUGUUAUUCAUUUUUCUAAACCGAUUGGAGAACAACAAAGUUUUUUUUCAGACUUUAAAUCUUACCUCCUCCAUAAUUUUCUUUUCUACUCCUUUAAGCAACUGUGUUCAAAAAUAAGGAUCAGACCGCAGAUAGCACGGGAACUCAUCGACAUGUGUCGGAUUUGUACCAGUGUUACGCCAGGCAAACCCCAGGUGACGCUGGGCUCAGACAAGGCCUUCACAUAUGAUUAUGUCUUUGACACGAAUGUCCAGCAAGAGGAUGUGUACACAACCUGUGUAGAAGCUCUUGUGAACGGAUCUCUCGAAGGUUACAAUGCAACUGUUU